GUCUAUGGUCAUGCUACCCUGAACAAGCCAGAUCUCAUCUGAUCUUGGAAGCUAAGUAGGGUUGGGCCUGGUUAACACUUUGAUGAGAGACCACCUAGGAAGACCAGGUGCUGCAGGCG
rnacentral:rRNA from 1 species